CGCGCAGCAGCAGAAGGUUGUCAAUAAGCUUAUCCAGUUUUUGAUUUCAUUGGUGCAAUCCAACCGUAUCCUCGGGGUGAAGAGGAAGAUCCCCCUGAUGUUGAACGACAGCAGUUCAGCACAUUCCAUGCCGAAGUACAGUCGCCAGUACUCCCUGGAGCACGUCCACGGCUCUUCCCCGU
rnacentral:lncRNA from 1 species